AGAGACAGCAGCAGCCACGGUAAUACCGAGGGUGCGAGCGUUAAUCGGAUUUACUGGGCGUAAAGCGUGCGUAGGCGGCUUUUUAAGUCGGAUGUGAAAUCCCUGAGCUUAACUUAGGAAUUGCAUUCGAUACUGGGAAGCUAGAGUAUGGGAGAGGAUGGUAGAAUUCCAGGUGUAGCGGUGAAAUGCGUAGAGAUCUGGAGGAAUACCGAUGGCGAAGGCAGCCAUCUGGCCUAAUACUGACGCUGAGGUACGAAAGCAUGGGGAGCAAACAGGAUUAGAUACCCGCGUAGUCCCUGUCUCUUAUAA
rnacentral:rRNA from 1 species